rnacentral:misc_RNA from 1 species
AAAAAAACAGCCAAUUUUUUACUUUCAUAUACAGACCUAAAAAAUUAUCAGAAACUAAUAUGCCAACAGCAUCGAAUCAACAAAGGCAUUAUGCAUAAAAGCAUUGAAUAUAAAGUUAGAUCUGCUACUUAUUUUCAUUCACUAUUUAGAUGUUAGAAAUUGCAUGUAAACUGAAGAAAAAAAAAUCCAACCUUCUUAUGCAUAAACACUUGUGAACGGAUGGACUACUCUACGAAAG